rnacentral:rRNA from 1 species
GACGAACGCUGGCGGCGUGCUUAACACAUGCAAGUCGAACGGAAAGGCCCUGCUUUUGUGGGGUGCUCGAGUGGCGAACGGGUGAGUAACACGUGAGUAACCUGCCCUUGACUUUGGGAUAACUUCAGGAAACUGGGGCUAAUACCGGAUAGGAGCUCCUGCUGCAUGGUGGGGGUCGGAAAGUUUCGGCGGUUGGGGAUGGACUCGCGGCUUAUCAGCUUGUUGGUGGGGUAGUGGCUUACCAAGGCUUUGACGGGUAGCCGGCCUGAGAGGGUGACCGGCCACAUUGGGACUGAGAUACGGCCCAGACUCCUACGGGAGGCAGAAGUGGGGAAUAUUGCACAAUGGGCGGAAGCCUGAUGCAGCAACGCCGCGUGCGGGAUGACGGCCUUCGGGUUGUAAACCGCUUUCGCCUGUGACGAAGCGUGAGUGACGGUAAUGGGUAAAGAAGCACCGGCUAACUACGUG